CUCUCGAAAUCAUCAUGGUGGUGAUCAUGGUCAUCAUCGUGAUCGUGAUCAUGGUCAUCAUCGUGAUCGUGAUCGUGGUCAUCAUCAUGAUGGUGG
rnacentral:misc_RNA from 1 species